ACAUGCUUACAACAUUGUGUUAAUGCAUCAGAUCCCAUUAGAACUCUACAGUUAAGCAUGCUCGUGCUAGAGUAGUACUAGGAUGGGUGACCACUUGGGAAUUCCUAGUGUUUCACAUGCC
rnacentral:rRNA from 1 species